AACAAACGCUGGCGGCGUGCCUAAUACAUGCAAGUCGAACGGGGAAAGCUUUCGGGUGAGUACUAGUGGCGCACGGGUGAGGAACGCGUGGAUAAUCUGCCUUAGAGUGGGGGAUAACUAGUCGAAAGAUUAGCUAAUACCGCAUAAGACCACAAGAUCUGCGGAUCAAGGGGUCAAAGGUUUUUCGCUCUAAGAUGAGUCCGCGUAAGAUUAGCUAGUUGGUGAGGUAACGGCUCACCAAGGCGACGAUCUUUAACUGGUCUGAGAGGAUGAUCAGGCACACUGGAACUGAGCCACGGUCCAGACUCCUACGGGAGGCAGCAGUAGGGAAUAUUGCACAAUGGAGGAAACUCUGAUGCAGCGACGCCGCGUGAGUGAUGAAGGCCUUCGGGUCGUAAAGCUCUGUCGCAGGGGAAUAACACAAUGAAGGUACCCUGUAAGAAAGGAUCGGCUAACUUCGUGCCAGCCGCCGCCGUAAUAC
rnacentral:rRNA from 1 species